ensembl:lncRNA
UAACAGUGUAUUACUGAACAAACAGUCACUUUUAUUCGAAAUAUUAGAUAUUAACGCCAUUAUUAAUAACAAUUAUUAACUUUUUUCAAAUUAAACUGACACUUUUAUCCUGACAGAAAAUUCACUUCUAGCUGUCAGUCAGAACUGGCUUAUAAAUUCCGCACGCGCUGUAUAGCUGGAAUAACGGUCACAAAUUGAGCUAAGCUAACUAACAUUUCGCCUUUUAUUUAUUCAUAUUCAUUUAAACUGAGCUGGUUUCUCUCACCCCCGAGGCAGCGGAGGCGGCUUGCUAGCCUCUCCGUCUCUGUCCCUGUCCAGCGCCAGAGGCUCCCGGCGGUCAAACUGCGAGCGAACGGUCUCCGCCAUGUUUACGCGCAGAGAUCUGGAUCGACUCCGCUGCUUUGCGGAGCUCUUCUCACACACUAGCGCUCGCGCCUAUACUGUGCGUACCGGUUGUUUCAGUCGCUACCACUUCCUUGCAGCCGCGGGGGUGAAACCCGUCCUCGUUCUUACAGUAAACAUAUUAAAAAAAUAGAACCACAGUACAAAAAUCCUACAAAUAGACUUAUAAAUGACAAAUAAAAUAAAAUGUAUAGUGCCGUUCUUUGUUUUAACUUUUAGAAAAGAUGUUUUGAGUUAUAAAACCUCGAGCGUGCACCCCUGACUGUAAUGGAUGAAUGAUCGCUCCCGCGGUAGUACAGGAGGGAGGGAGAGCUGGCUGUGUCUGAAACCUCACACUACCGCACUAUAUAGUACGCUACCUACGGUAACUAUGGUAACCUAUUCUGGAGAAUUAAUUUAAAAUACUAUGUAGAGCAGUAGUUUUCGGUUUGAAACGUGGCCGUCGUCUUUGUUUCCAAGCAAAGUUGAUUAUGGUCUAUUAGCAAAAUGUACACCCAAUAGGCUUUUGAAAGUGGUGUGACGUAAUGUUAAAUUGAUAUUAAUAAUGAUCUAUCUAUCUAUCUAUCUAUCUAUCUAUCUAUCUAUCUAUCUAUAAUGACGGUCAUGAUGAUGAUGAUCAUGGUGAUGAUGGUGUUGGUGGUGGUGUUGGUGAUGAUGAUGAUGACGAUGAUGGUGUUGAUGGUGGUGCUGGUGGGGGUGAUGACGAUGACGAUGAUGGUGUUGAUGGUGGUGCUGGUGGGGGUGAUGACGAUGACGAUGAUGGUGUUGAUGGUGGUGCUGGUAGGGGUGAUGACGAUGACGAUGAUGGUGUUGAUGGUGAUGACGAUGAUGACGAUGAUGGUGUUGAUGGUUGUGCUGGUAGGGGUGAUGACGAUGAUGGUGUUGAUGGUGGUGCUGGUAGGGGUGAUGACGAUGAUGGUGUUGAUGGUGGUGCUGGUGGGGGUGAUGACGAUGACGAUGAUGGUGUUGAUGGUGGUGCUGGUGGGGGUGAUGACGAUGACGAUGAUGGUGUUGAUGGUGGUGCCGGUGGGGGUGAUGACGAUGAUGGUGUUGAUGGUGGUGCUGGUGGGGGUGAUGACGAUGACGAUGAUGGUGUUGAUGGUGGUGCUGGUGGGGGUGAUGACGAUGACGAUGAUGGUGUUGAUAGUGGUGCUGGUAGGGGUGAUGACGAUGACGAUGAUGGUGUUGAUGGUGAUGACGAUGAUGACAAUGAUGGUGUUGAUGGUGGUGCUGGUAGGGGUGAUGACGAUGAUGGUGUUGAUGGUGGUGCUGGUGGGGGUGAUGACGAUGACGAUGAUGGUGUUGAUGGUGGUGCUGGUGGGGGUGAUGACGAUGACGAUGAUGGUGUUGAUAGUGGUGCUGGUAGGGGUGAUGACGAUGACGAUGAUGGUGUUGAUGGUGAUGACGAUGAUGACAAUGAUGGUGUUGAUGGUGGUGCUGGUAGGGGUGAUGACGAUGACGAUGAUGGUGUUGAUGGUGAUGAUGAUGAUGAUAGUGGUGGUGGUGGUAAUAGUGGUGAUGAUGAUGAUGGUGGUGGUUAUGGUGGUGCUGGCGGGGUUGAUGAUGAUGAGAAUAUCAGUAGUAGUGGUGCUGAUAAGUAGGUGGUGACAAUUGGUGAUGGUGAUGAUGGUGGUGGUGGUGGUGGUGGUGCUGGUGGAGGUGAUGAUGAUGAUGGUGGUGGUUGUGGAGAUGAUGAUGGUGGUGAUGGUGGUGGUGGUGGUAUCUUAAAAAAAACAGCUAAAGACCCUACCUCUUCUGUGAACACCUAACUAACCCCUAAUAAAUAAGUAAAUAAAUAAAUAAAAUAAAAUAAAAACCUUACUCUGGCACUUACACCUCUACUCUGCACACUUUGCUUCUUCUAGAACUCAAUUAAUACAUCUUGUAUGGUAGCACUACUUGUAUUGUUCUCUGCUUGAUAUAUCGCUUUGCUUGUAUUUUCUCAUUUGUAAGUCGCUUUGGAUAAAAGCGUCUGCUGAAUGAAUAAAUAUGGUGGUGAUGAUAGUGGUCUUGAAGUUGAUAAUGAUGGUGGUGGUUUGUCGGUGUUCAUAGAGCUUAUGAUUAUGAUAGAGUCUUUAUUUUUCACAUGCACAGUAUCUUUUAUUCGCAUACCUCACCAUGUCAGGAAGUUGAGGUCAGAGUGCAGGGUCAGCCAUGAUACAGUGCCCCUGGAGCAGAGAGGGUUAAGGGCCCAACAGGGGCAUUUUGGCAGUGCUGGGGCUUGAACCCCCGACCUUCUGAUCAGUAACCCAGAGCCUUAACCACCAAGCCACCACUGCCCCCGAUGAUGAUGAUGAUGAUGAUGAUAAUGAAGAUGGUGGUGAAGAUAAGUUGGUGGAAACAAUGAUAAUGAUGGUUGAUGAAGGUGAUGGUUUUGUUAACAGUGGAAAAUGGAGUGAUGCUGACAGUAAGGCUGAUGAUGAUAAUGAAGAUGGAGAGUUAGAGAAUAAUGGUUCUGGUGUUUUUUGGUGGAUGCUGAAGCUUUUAUAAUGAUGACGGUGAUGAUGAUGGUGAUGAUGAUGGUGGUGGUGAUAAAGUUCAUGGUAUUGUUAGUAAUAAUGAUUAUGUUCAUGAGGAUGAUGAGGAUAAAGUUGAUGAUGAUUAAGUUCAUGGUAUUGUUUGGGAUGAUGAUGAUGAUGAUUAUGAUCAUAGUUUUGAUGAUGAUGGAGAUGACAGUGAUGAUGGUUAUGAUGAUGAUGAUGAUGAUGAUAGUGGUGAUUAUGAGAUGGCAAAGAUGAUGGUGGUGGUGAUGAUGAUGAUGAUGAUGAUAGUGCUGGUGGAGCUCAUGAUGAUGAUAACCAUGAUGAUGACAAUGAUUAUGGUCAAGAUGGCUUUGUUGAUUAUAAUUAUAAUGAUAAUGACAAUGGUGAUGUUAGUGGUGUUCAUGGUAUUGUUGGUAGAUGCUGAGAAUAACUUUUAUAAUGAUGAUAAAGUUUGUUGUAUUGUUGGUGAUGAUGAUGAUUAUAAUAAUGAUGUUCAUGAACUGAUGAUGAUGGUGGAAAUGAUGAUGAUUAUGAUGAUGAUGAUGAUAGUAGUGGUAAUGAUGAUGGUGAUGAUGAAGAUAGUAGUGGUAAUGAUAAUGAUGGUGAUGAUGAUGGUGGUAAUGAUGAUGAUGGUGAUGAUGAUGAUGAUGAUGGUGAUGAUGAUGAUGAUGGUGAUAGUGGUGGUAAUGACGAUGAAGAUAAUGAUCAUGAUGGUGAUAGUGGUGGUAAUGAUGAUGGUGAUGAUGAUGAUGAUGAUGAUGAUGGUGAUGAUGAUGAUGAUGGUGAUGAUGAUGAUGGUGAUGGUGGUAAUAAUGAUGAUGGUGAUGAUGAUGAUGAUGAUGGUGAUAGCGGUGGUAAUGAUGAUGAUGGUGAUGAUGAUGAUGAUGGUAAUGAUGAUGAUGGUGAUGAUGAUGAUGAUGGUGAUAGUGGUGGUAAUGAUGAUGAUGGUGAUGAUGAUGACAAUGAUGAUGAUAGUGGUGGUAAUGAUGAUAAUGAUGAUGAUGAAGAUGGUGAUAGCGGUGGUAAUGAUGAUGAUGGUGAUGAUGAUGAUGAUGAUGGUGAUAGUGGUGGUAAUGAUGAUGAUGAUGAUGAUAGUGGUGGUAAUGAUGAUGAUGAUGAUGAUGUGAUGAUGGUGAUGGUGAUAAUAAUGAUGGUGAUAGUGGUGGUAAUGAUGAUGAUGAUGAUGAUAGUGGUGGUAAUGAUGAUGAUGAUGAUGGUGAUAGUGGUGGUAAUGAUAAUGAUGAUGAUGAUGAUGAUGAUGAUAGUGGUGGUAUGAUAAUGAUGAUGAUGGUGAUGAUGAUGAUGAUGAUGAUGAUGAUGGUGAUGAUGAUGGUGAUAGUGGUGGUAAUGAUGAUGAUGAUGAUGGUGAUAGUGGUGGUAAUGAUGAUGAUGAUGGUGGUGAUAGUGGUGAUGAUGAUGAUGAUGAUGAGAUGAUUAUGAUGAUGGUGAUAAUGGUAAUGAUGAUGAUGAUGAUGAUGAUGAUGAUGAUGAUAAUGGUGGUAAUGAUGAUGAUGAUGAUGAUGGUGAU